GACGAACGCUGGCGGCGUGCUUAACACAUGCAAGUCGAACGGCAAGGCACUGCUUGCGUGGGGUGCUGGGGUGGGGAACGGGUGAGGAACACGUGAGUAACGUGCUCUUGACUUUGGGAUAACUUAAGGAAGCUGGGGCUAAUAUCGGAUAGGAGCUCCUGUUGGAUGGAGGGGGUUGGAAAGUUUCGGCGGUCGGGGCUGGACUCGCGGCUGAUGAGUUAGUUGGUGGGGGAGUGGAUUGCCCAGGAUUUGACUGGUAGGCGGCCUGGGAGGGUGACCGGCCACAAUGGUACUGCGAGACGGCGCAGUGUCCUACGUGAGACAGCAGUCGGGAAUAUUGCCCAAUCGGCGCACGCCUGAUGCAGCAGCCCCGCGUGCGGGAUGACCUCCUUCGGGUUGUAAACCGCUUUCGCCUGUGACGAAGCGUGAGUGACGGUAAUGAGUGAAGAAGCACCGGCUAACUACGUG
rnacentral:rRNA from 1 species